rnacentral:rRNA from 1 species
UACGUAGGGGGCAAGCGUUGUCCGGAAUCAUUGGGCGUAAAGAGCGUGUAGGCGGCCAGAUAAGUCCGCUGUGAAAUCUCGAGGCUCAACUUCGAGCUGUCGGUGGAAACUGUCUGGCUAGAGUCCGGAAGAGGAGAAUGGAAUUCCUGGUGUAGCGGUGGAAUGCGCAGAUAUCAGGAGGAACACCAACGGCGAAGGCAGCUCGCUGGGACGGUACUGACGCUGAGGCGCGAAAGCGUGGGGAGCGAACAGG